GUGAGAAAUGGGGGUGGCGUCUUCUUGUCUUGAUACACACUAUACACUUCAGACGCGAAGCCGCUGUGUUUUCAAGCUCCGCUUUUGCGAACGCAGAGUCUGGGCUCGAUCAUUCCUCUACGCGGCGACAAAUCGAAUUGACGUAGAAAAAGCGGCGACCGCGCCAGACGUCACUUUGAGGACUGGAGCCAAGAACUUAAUAAAAUCGCAAUUUUUUUUUACUUGAGACUAUAGGCUCGCGGGCCACAAGAAGACGGCAUUUUCUCGCAGGUUUUCGAGUGUAAAUUCGCUAGUGAGCGAGCCGUCUAGCUUCAGCGGCUUGGAUCGGACCAAGUUGCGGUUAGAGGCCUUUAGAAGAGAAAACGGCCAUAUGGUUUGGUGCCUUGAUUUCGAUUGCUGAGCGAUGACCAAAAGCUCCUCUUCAACGACUUCUAAAGAAAGUUGAGCGACCGGUGGUAGCUGGUAAUGAAGGUUUCCGAGGCGAUCAGAAAAGGUCGAUUUUUUGUCGAAGUGGCCACUCGCUUUUUCUGGCGAGAAGGGAAGAAUGAAGCCCGUGAUCAGGCCCCAGUGGGCAGUCCUCCCAUUAUUUAGACAAGGCUGGUGGUUUUUGUCGGUGUCGUAUGGCACCAUAACAGGCCGUCCGCGUUGGACGGAUCGAAUAAGCUUGUUCAAAAAUUCAGAAUUCCAGGGCUUGUUCCAGCAAGCGGCCUCGAGUCCCGGGUAGCAGGCCCGCGCCAGGCGAACCAUGUCCUCUCCGCUGAACAUUUCGCCGGUGCGACUCACUCCCAACCCCCGAGCCGUCUCCAGGAGCGCGCUCAACGACUUGCAACUAUCGGGCAAAAUAAACUGUACAAAUUUUUGUGUACGUAACCGUCGACAGAGAACUAGUCGUGUUAAGGCUCACUUCGCUCGGGACCAGAAGAGGUGCAAAGUACGGACCUGAGCCGCCAUUUUUAGGGCCAAGAGCCCGCAUCUAGAGAAGAAAGCGCGUGCAUAAAAGAGCGUUAAGAAAGGAGCGGAAGCGUGACAAGACAAGUUGGAAGAGCUUGUUACGUGGCACCCUGUUGCAGGUAAAAAGGAAUGUGGCAAUUCACGCAUAUGUAGUCUUUCGGAAGACGCGUGGUUUCCUCUGAACUCAAGGGAGGCGACUCAAGGCACCACGACUUGAACUUGUUCCAGAUUGCUUGCUGAGACUCGGCGUCUGUUUUCACAAACGCCGUGUCUUCUGAAGUUCUGGCAAGAGAAGCCGGGGUGACGAAGGGCGAAGACGUGCCGCGGGGUUGGCCGGGGUCCGUGGAGGUUUGCAUAGAGAAAGGAACAAAUCUUUUGGUCAGACCUCGUGACACGUGACAAAAAAAAAGAGCUGGGAACAGAAAUGCCCUCAGAGCUUCUCGGCCGCAUGAAAUUGGAAGGCCUUCGGGAGGAGGGGGCGGGAGGCUUUGCAGGCAUCCGGAUACAAAAUCUUGAAAUUUUGUCGAGGGCGAUAACUCCUGCGAUAUCCCGAAGGCGGUAGUCAUCAAAAUCGUGAAGAACGUCCUCCCAGAAGGAAUUGUGAUAGCAAAAGACGCUAAGCUAGCCUAUUCAAGAGCAGCCAAGACGUUUAUUCAAUAUCUCGCAUCAUGCGCGCAUGAUUUUUGCAAAAGCAUGAAUCGCCAAACAGUAUCUCCGAAUCACGUUUUCGGCGCUCUGGACGAAUUGGAA